UACGUAGGUGGCAAGCGUUAUCCGGAAUUAUUGGGCGUAAGCGCGCGCAGGUGGUUUCUUAAGUCUGAUGUGAAAGCCCACGGCUCAACCGUGGAGGGUCAUUGGAAACUGGGAGACUUGAGUGCAGAAGAGGAAAGUGGAAUUCCAUGUGUAGCGGUGAAAUGCGUAGAGAUAUGGAGGAACACCAGUGGCGAAGGCGACUUUCUGGUCUGCAACUGACACUGAGGCGCGAAAGCGUGGGGAUCGAACAGG
rnacentral:rRNA from 1 species